GGCAGCAGUGGGGAAUAUUGCACAAUGGGCGCAAGCCUGAUGCAGCCAUGCCGCGUGUAUGAAGAAGGCCUUCGGGUUGUAAAGUACUUUCAGCGGGGAGGAAGGCGUUGUGGUUAAUAACCACAGCAAUUGACGUUACCCGCAGAAGAAGCACCGGCUAACUCCGUGCCAGCAGCCGCGGUAAUACGGAGGGUGCAAGCGUUAAUCGGAAUUACUGGGCGUAAAGCGCACGCAGGCGGUCUGUUAAGUC
rnacentral:rRNA from 1 species